UGUAAGUAGACUAAAGUAAUUAUAAAAAAGAUUCUUAGUUGAUGAAAUAGUUAGCUCCUGUAACGAAGUUGAUCAUAGACGCAAGGAUUCAUUUUACCCAAAAUAUGGCAAACUAGUUAUAGUUGUUAGAAACAUUCUGACAAUGAAUCCUUCUUUAUUCCUAAACCAACCAAGAAACAUUUCUUAGUUGGUUAUUCGCUGUCAAACAGUCCUAUGAAUGUCCACAUGAUUUAACUUAUCAAUGAUCUCGAGAGCUAGGACCUGAUUCAAGUUGCCGGAUUCAUCUGUGUGAACU
rnacentral:lncRNA from 1 species